rnacentral:rRNA from 1 species
UUGAAAGGGAAACGAUUGAAGUCAGUCGUGCUGGCGCGAAAUCAACCUUCUCGUCUUGAGAUCACAUGGCGUGGCGAGCCUCAAAACCGUCACGAAGCGUGAACUCUUGGUGAAAUGGAGCACUUUCGUGUCCGCUGGUUAACAUCAAUUUCGAACGUCAUAAAAAGGCUGGAGGGAUGUGGCUCCUUCGGGAGUGUUAUAACCUUUAGCGGAAUGUGGUGUUCGGGAUUGAGGAUUGCAACGAAUACCUUUAGGGCUGUUCCACCUGGCUUCUCUUUGGUAUCCUGGUGACGACAGCUUGCUGACGUCGUUAGGAUUCGCCUUUGAACAGGCUAGAGUGUGAGCAAAUUCGUUAAGGAUGUUGACGUA